ACAAAAAGAGAGUCAUAGUUUAUCAGUACCAUUUUUUCUUAAAGCGAUGUUUUUGUUAAACUACUUAUCUUAUCUCAGUGUCCGAGGAAGGGGGUAUAUUGAAGUAUUUACUUCUGCUCAGAAAUGUCUGUGAAAAUAUUUAUUCGAAGGCGCUUCGAGUUUUGAACGAUCUCAGCACAUGGAAAAACACAAUCAAUGUGGAUCUAUGUGGAAAAAGCUUGAUGAUGAGAAGAUGAAGUAAAUUGGUCAGUAAACGGUUCUCGAGGCUCGUGGGAACACUGGUGGAUCAACCUCUUGCAACUAUGCUUAUCAAUACUCUUCUUCUAUUCAAGAUGUUCCACCAGCCUGUAGUCAGGGGGGGGGGCUAGAUUGAUUGUGCGAACAAGUUAAAGGUUUCCUAAUUCGACAUUAUCAAGGCCGAUAUGGAUAGAGGUUCAGGGUUGAAGUCGAUAUAUGGCGGUUAAGUGAAGGUUAAAAAUCGGGUUCAAAUCUGUCCUGUAAACGUGCUGGCGUACCAUAGCUACCUCUACAAUCUACCUCUGCUGGAGCAAGGAUUAUGAGCAAGAAGCUGUAAGGUGCUUCAGUUUCGCUCUGUCGUCUUGAUCUAAGCGAUCCUGAGCAGUUUAACCUUAAGAUUGAUCUCGCUUCCAACUACCCUCUUCAAUGUUUCCUGUAAAAGAAUACUCCUGUUUGGACGAGGUGAAGUGGGAGUUCUGUUCUCUUAAUGCAGGAAAAGUCGCCUUCAGAAAACAGAACUCCCACUUCAACUCCCUUCCCUUCUCGAUGCUUCCUCUUCUGUAAAAUCCUAUCUAGAUGAGAAGCUGGGGUUAGUUGGAAGUUCCUGUCUCUGGUAUGGUUGUUAACUUUUUGACCUGGAGAACCCUACAGAGGGAAACCCAACUCACCAGUCCUCCAGGUAACUGGGGGUUUUGGGAUUACUGUUCCAACGACAUCGAGGAUUCUUUAGAGGAGAACAUCCUGGGAGAAAUAAUGAAUGUCUACGAGUUUUUCUUCUCUAUGAUCAAAACCUCGCUUCAACAUUUCCACCUUCAAGCAGAAAUGUUGCCUGGCGGAGGGUCCCUGAACCAUUCAGUUUAAAACAUGCAUUGAAGUGAAGUUGGGUUACCAUUAACUUCAGUAUUAGUUUGAGAUCCAAAUCUGAGUUCUAGUAUAAUUUAUUAACUGAAUCUCUUGCUAAUCUAACACAAGUUUCAGUUCUGAAACUGUUGAAUGUCGAAGACUCAAUUCCGAAAAACGUUUGUUCUGAAUUUAGACUUGUAUGUUUAGAUAUGUGUAUUUUUUACUGUGAUAUUGUAAAGUUUGGAAAGGUCAAUUCACUGUAAUAAUGUUGAUAAAGCCUUUUCUUAAAAUUAAAAUAAUUUAGUGCUGUUAAAUAAUUUGGUUAAAUAAAAUGAAUUAAGUGUUUUA